UACCCUUAUUUGCCAGCGAUUCGGUCGGCCAACUAUAAGGGCACUGCCGGUGAUAAACCGGAGGAAGGUGAGGACAUCUCCAAGUCAUCAUGGCCCUUACGCAUAGGGCUACACACGUGCUACAAUGGAGAAUACAGACGGACGCUAAGCCGCGAGGUGGUGCCAAUCCUAGAAAAUUCUUCGUAGUCCGGAUUGGUGUCUGCAACUCGACUCCAUGAAGUCGGAAUCGCUAGUAAUCGCGAAUCAGCAUGUCGCGGUGAAUACGUUC
rnacentral:rRNA from 1 species